GGGGAGCAAAACAGCUAUGGGUCAAGCCCGAGAUCUUUAGGAGAAGUCUUAUUGUGAGGGCGAGUUAUAUAACACCAUAGGGCUGGCCGUCCCAUAUGAAAAGAUUUUAUUAGAAUUGAAUGAAGCUUUGUUUAUAUAUUGAUAAUGACAGUAUAUAUAUCGUGUCUUGACUAAUUGCGUGCCAGCAGUCGCGGUAAUACGUAAGAGACUAGUGUUAUUCAUCUUAAUUAGGUUUAAAGGGUACCCAGACGGUCAAUAUAGCUUAUAAAAUGUUAGUACUUGACUAGAGUUUUAUGUAAGAGGGCAGUACUUGAGGAGGAGAGAUGAAAUUUCGUGAUACCAAAGGGACUCUGUAAAGGCGAAGGCAGCCCUCUAUGUAAAAACUGACGUUGAAGGACGAAGGCACAGAGAACAAACAGGAUUAGAUACCCAAGUAGUCUUUGCAGUAAAUGAUGAAUGCCAUAGGUUAGAUUAAUAGUUAAUGUUUAUAGACUAAUUGGUGGUUUAGUGGUUUUUUACUUUUACGGCUUAAAAAAAAUACAUUUUUUUUAGCCAUAAAAAAAAACCUUGCAUAACUAAACCUAUAUAGCCAUAGCGUACAUUAAAAAUUAUUUGGUCUAUAAAUGAAAGUGUAAGCAUUUCACCUCAAGAGUAAUGUGGCAACGCAGGAACUGAAAUCACUAGACCGUUUCUGACACCAGUAGUGAAGUAU
rnacentral:rRNA from 1 species